UGAGCAACCUGCCCUUGGCUUUGGGAUAACCCUCGGAAACGGGGGCUAAUACCGAAUGUUCACUGCUGGACGCAUGUUUGGUGGUGGAAAGUUUUUCGGCUGGGGAUGGGCUCGCAGCCUAUCAGCUUGUUGGUGGGGUGAUGGCCUACCAAGGCAACGACGGGUAGCCGGCCUGAGAGGGCGACCGGCCACACUGGGACUGAGACACGGCCCAGACUCCUACGGGAGGCA
rnacentral:rRNA from 1 species